rnacentral:rRNA from 1 species
UGUCGAUGAAGAGCGCAGCAAACUGUGUGAAUUAAUGUGAACUGCAACCUGCCAUGAACAUCGACAACUUGAUUGCACAUUGCGGCCAUGGGUUAGCCUGUGGCCACGCCUGUCCGAGAGUU